CCUACGGGAGGCAGCAGUGAGGAAUAUUGGUCAAUGGUCGGGAGACUGAACCAGCCAAGCCGCGUGAGGGAUGAAGGUACAGAGUAUCGUAAACCUCUUUUGUCAGGGAACAAAGGCGGGGACGUGUCCCCGGAUGAGUGUAACUCAAGAAAAAGCAUCGGCUAACUCCGUGCCAGCAGCCGCGGUAAUACGGAGGAUGCGAGCGGUAUCCGGAUUUAGUGGGUUUAAGGGGUGCGCAGGCGGUCUGUUAAGUCAGCGGUCAAAGCCCGGGGCUCAACCCCGGCCCGCCGUUGAAACUGGCAGUCUCGAGUUGGAGAGAAGUAUGCGGAAUGCGCGGUGUAGCGGUGAAAUGCAUAGAUAUCGCGCAGAACUCCGAUUGCGAAGGCAGCAUGCCGGCUCCACACUGACGCUGAGGCACGAAAGCGUGGGUAUCGAACAGGAUUAGAUACCCUUGUAGUC
rnacentral:rRNA from 1 species